rnacentral:rRNA from 1 species
GAUCUCUUAAAGCUGUUCUCAGUUCGGACUGCAGUCUGCAACUCGACUGCACGAAGCUGGAAUCGCUAGUAAUCGCGGAUCAGCACGCCGCGGUGAAUACGUUCCCGGGCCUUGUACACACCGCCCGUCACACCAUGGAAGUCUGCAAUGCCCGAAGCCGGUGGCCUAACCACUUAUGUGGAAGGAGCCGUCUAAGGCAGGGCAGAUGACUGGGGUGAAGUCGUAACAAGGUAUC